CCAUGACAGGCAGACAGGAAAGCCCGUAAGUCAGCAGCGUGAAAGGGCACUUGGCGUAUUUACAGCCCUGACAUCUUAGGUCCCUUAUAUUUAUGCACUUGUUCUGCUCUGCCACCAGUCAAACUCCGUUUCCCUGAAAUAUUUCUGAAUCUGGGGGGGAAAAAAGAUGAAGAAGUGGACUAUAGCUGGGUCCUUUUAUCUCUCUGGGAAACAACCCCCAGAGAAGUUUGCAAGCCUCAGACACCCUGCUGAGGGGAGGCCAUGGGCUGCCUGUCAGGAUUCUUCACACACCAGUCCUACAGAGAAGAUGGGAUUUGGAAACAAGUCCAUGAGUGGCAGCCAGUGUGAACUGCUCAGAAUACACGAUGUGCUGGUUGUAAAUUGAUGAC
rnacentral:lncRNA from 12 species